UGUUUUCCUUUGUAAGAGUUGCCGUGGCCAUGGUGUCUCUUCACAGCAAUAGAAACUCUAACUGAGACAGAUGGGAUGAAGAUCGCUGAUUGAGAGGGCAACGAGGUGGCAUUAGAGAUUUCAUGGGCCCUAAGAAUGUGAGGUUAAAGUAAGAGAGAAUGGGAAGACCAACUGUUCUCCGCCUGCCUCCAGUGAGGAUGUUAAAAGAAGCAAGAACAAGACUGGAAGAGGAUGCACAUCCUAUUGUUCUGCAGAUGGUGAUGACGUAUGGUGGACGCCCAAUGUGUCUGUGCCACCUCAAGUUCCUAUGUGCCCGUCAUUUGCUGAGUGCAGACAAUGUUCCCAGCACUGUGUAGGCACCACCACAUCAGCUUUUUUAUGUCUUAAGUAUUAUCUUACUUAAUCAUUACCUGGGGCCUCCGUGAUAAGCAUUGUUCUUUUAAUUAUGGAAAGGGAAACUGAGGCUGCAGAGUUUUUUUUUUUUUUACUGGCAACUCAAAUUCAGGUAUGCUGCUGCUAAACUGAAUGGUUUUUCCAUUGAAAUAAGUGUGGCAAAUGGGUUUUGAUCCAAGUUUCAGUAAAUUUUGAUAGCUAUAAGGAUUAAAAGACUUUUGUAUCUCAGUGAGAAAGAAUACUGUGAUUGAUUAGUGAUGUUUGCUAUUGGCAAAGGUGCAGGAGGGGAAAUAAUGUUAUGAUUGUUUAGUGAUGUCUGAUAUGGCAGCACAUGUGUUGCAUUCGUUUGUCAAUUUUGUAGAAGGACAGGUCUCUACAUUGCAAAGUUUUACUGCAAUUCCGAUUCUCCACCAUGUAUGUCAUUUUAAAUCUCCCCAUACAUAUACUCUGCAAAAUAGUUUCAACAUGCUCUUGAAAAAUCAA